rnacentral:misc_RNA from 1 species
UACGAGAGCCCCAAGCGUUAUCCGGAAUUACUGGGCGUAAAGGGUCCGUAGGCGGCAAGUUUAGUCUUCUGUGAAAGACUCCGGCUCAACCGGAGACCCGCAGAGGAAACGGACUAGCUAGAGAGUGUGAGAGGUCUGCAGAACGCAUGGUGUAGGGGUGAAAUCCGUUGAUAUCAUGCGGAAUACCGAAAGCGAAGGCAGCAGACUGGCGCAUUUCUGACGCUGAGGGACGAAAGCCAGGGUAGCGAAAGGG